rnacentral:tRNA from 1 species
GCCCCGCUAGUUCAAUGGAUAGAACGUGCGUUUCGCAAGCGUUUGGUUCUUGGUUCGAAUCCAAGGCGGGGUA